rnacentral:rRNA from 1 species
GACGAACGCUGGCGGCGUGCUUAACACAUGCAAGUCGAACGGAAAGGCCCUGCUUUUGUGGGGUGCUCGAGUGGCGAACGGGUGAGUAACACGUGAGUAACCUGCCCUUGUCUUUGGGAUAACUUCAGGAAACUGGGGCUAAUACCGGAUAGGAGCUCCUGCUGCAUGGUGGGGGUUGGAAAGUUUCGGCGGUUGGGGAUGGACUCGCGGCUUAUCAGCUUGUUGGUGGGGUAGUGGCUUACCAAGGCUUUGACGGGUAGCCGGCCUGAGAGGGUGACCGGCCACAUUGGGACUGAGAUACGGCCCAGACUCCUACGGGUGGCAGCAGUGGGGAAUAUUGCACAAUGGGCGGAAGCCUGAUGCAGCAACGCCGCGUGCGGGAUGACGGCCUUCGGGUUGUAAACCGCUUUCGCCUGUGACGAAGCGUGAGUGACGGUAAUGGGUAAAGAAGCACCGGCUAACUACGUG